AGCGCUUCCCUGCUGCACUGGUCACCCCUGGGGUGGGUUUGCCGGGCACACCGCUGUGUGCCACUUAUUUGUGUGCUUAAUUUCUGUGAAUUUAGAAUAUAAUUUGGGGAAUUAUAAGUUUACAUGUUGUAAUUUUCUCUGGGGCUGACACCCCCUCCCCACCCAGCUCCAGCAGGCAGGAGGGCAGUCGUGUCCCAGUCUUCCCAGGACACAAGUUCUUACCCAGGCGGUUGCUGGCACCUGGGGCUCUGCAUUUCUCACAAGGGGUCUGAGAUGCUGCCCCUGCUGGUCUUGGGCCCACAUGUGAGGGCUGCAGUGCUGCUUCCUUGUUGUGCAGAUGAUGUGGUCAUUCAGAGCCUGGAAGAGGGACCUUGGACCCCUGGACACUGCCUCAGGAGGCGGAGAAAGAGCAUCCAGAUGCUUCCACGCCCCAGGGCCCUGUAGGUAGAGUGGGUCACAUGGAGAUGCCCCUGCAGUGGGAACCAGUGUGUCCAAGGUGGCCACCUCCUCGAGCCCUAUUGGACCUGCGUGGGAAGAGCAGAGCCAGUGAAGCCCAGGCACAGAGGAGGCUCUUUCCUUAGUGACACCCCCCCGAGGAGUGCUGCUCGGACUCAGAUGCGACAAAGUGCAGAUGGAAACCAGGAAGACCUACCGAGGCAUCACUCGCUGGCAGGUGCUUCACAAGUCCCAUUGCCCUACCGGCCCUUCACCUGCUCUGCUCCUGGGACUGCUGUGCUUGCGGACAUCUGUGCUCCACGUCUAUGUUCUCAUGCUGCUCCUGGCCCCUCUGGCUGGGCCCAACCCCUGACCCCUCUCCAGGGCUUUGGCCUCCACUGCUGUGCUCAUUUCACUAUGGCCACUGAGUGGCUGCCCUGGAGCGGGGAAGUGAAUUCUAGGGAGGUGCUGGUGAUCAUCUAAUCCCCAGUAGGGUGAACACUGCUCUUGUGUUUUCCUCUGAAGGGUGCACAGAAAUAGCAACAUUUUAAAAUCCUAUUAAGGAUUCUUCUAGCUCUGGCCUUGUAGCCUCCAAGGGUGGACUGGGAAUGGUUUUCAUGGCCCAGUGUCUCUGCAGGGCCACCGGUGAGCUGAACAAGAGGCGCCUUCUUGGGGUUAUUUGGGUGGUGCUGGAGAGCUGGGAGGCUGGGCUGGAUGUCUUCCUAAUGCUUUC